rnacentral:rRNA from 1 species
CACGUAGGCGGCGCUCUAAGUCAGGUGUGAAAUCCCCCGGCUCAACCGGGGAACUGCACCUGAUACUGGAGCGCUCGAGGACGGUAGGGGUGAGUGGAACUCCAGGUGGAGCGGUGAAAUGCGUAGAUAUCUGGAGGAACACCGGUGGCGAAAGCGGCUCACUGGACCGUCUCUGACGCUGAGGUGCGAAAGCUAGGGUAGCAAACG